UGUAGAUAUUCUCAAUAACAAAAAUUAUAUUAAAUAAGAAAUAGGUUUGUUUAUCUUCUUAUGGUUCCCCAAAUAGAUAUUAGAUAUAGAAUAUAUGUAUCUAAUUAAAAUUACUCUCCAGUUCCAUCUACAUAGAAAGUAUACUGUGAAGAACCAUCCAUUAAAACCAAUUACAGGCUUCCAGACUUUUGUUGAGUUUUUCAAGCUGAGUUUGCUGGUUGAUCUACUGCUCCGGAUUGCCGUCUCUUUUAGGGAAGUGACAAUUCACACUCACAGUAGAAUGAUAGAACUAGCCUUGAACGCACUGUCUGUAUAAUACGAGUUUUUGUACCAGGUCAAAGCGGUUUAAGUGGCUAAGCAUACAGACAAAAAGCACACGGAAAUUCUUUAUAUUUCAAAAAAAAAUGUACUUCGCUGAGUUGGUAGGACUGUCCUUAAAUACUAUGUAUGCCAAAUAUGAACGAGAUUGUCAAAUAGUUUGUUUACAGCAGCUUCUUAAGCCGGUACACCUCAGUAGUGCCUUGUAAUUUUAAAAAUGGAUAAAAAUAUCGUACAAAGAAUUUGUCUCAAAUUUUGUAUUUCUAACCAAAUUUCGUGUGCCGAGUCGUUUUGAUUGUUGGAAAAGGCUUACAUUGAUUCAGUUUUAUCAAAAGCACAAUACUACGAGUGGUACAAAGCCUUCAAAGACGGUCGAGAGAUCGUUGAAAACAUGCCUCGUUCUGGACGACCCUCGACGUCUUCAGCUGACGAAUAUAUUAUAAGGUGAAGGAUAUGGUGCUUCAAAAUCGUCAGGCAAGUGUAAGAGAGAUGGCAAGAGUGCUCGACAUCUCUAGCGAGUCCGUUCGAAUGAUUUUGGCGGAUAUUUUUGGUAUGAAGCGCGUUUUUACUCGAAUCGUUUCGUUAAAGAUGAGUUUUUUUCGAAAAGAGUACCGUAAAUAAAGCUCUUUGGACAUGCUAGAACAUGCGAAUUCUGAUCCCAUAUUCUUGCAGAGCAUCAUAACUGCCGAUGAGAUAUGGGUUUAUGAGUUUGACAUGCAAACAAGUCAACAAUCAUCGUAAUGGAGGGAAAAAACGAGCCGAAACCAAAAAAACCAUGUCAAAUCCGCUCAAAAAUUCGGGUGAUGCUCAUUUUUUUCGAUAUUCGUGAUUUGGUGCAUCAUGAACUAGUUCCGAAGGUUCAAACGGUCAAUAAGGAGUUCCAUUACUGAGGCGUUUGUGUCAGAACAUUUGUCGAAAUCGGACGGAAUUGUGGAAGAACAACUCUUGACAACAUCGAGCCACUACUGUGACCGCAUUUAAAGCCAAAAACGCAAUGAAUACCAUCGAUGAACCACCGUAUUCACCAGAUUUUGCUCCGUGUGAUUUUUUCUUGUUCUCCAAACUGAAAACCUUCAUUUUCAGCCAAACGAAGAGAUAAAACAAAAUUCGCUGAAGAAGCUGAAGGUCAUCCCAAAAAUUGAUUAUGAAAACUAUUUCGAGGACUGGAAAAUUUGUUGGCAUAAGUGUAGAACAUCUGGUGGGGAUUACUUUGAAGGCGACGAAAUAAAUAUUGAUGAUAUUUAAAUAGACAUUUUGCAUUUUAUUUACAAUUUCCGGGUACUUUUUUUCACAAUAUAUAGACUUUUUCGAUAAAGUAGAUAUUUAAAAAGUUUUUUUUGUGGAAAAGUUUGAAAAAAUAUCGUCCUAAUGGAGCGAUGCGCUAUCUAGGUUGGGUUUUUUCGACCUUAUUGCCAAGCUCUGUUUCAUUAGUGUAAAAAGACUAAGCAGAGACGAUUUUACCGAUAUUCUCUUCUGCGCGAAAUUUCGUUACAAAUAAUAGGGCGAUCAAUCCCCAAACAAAAACAAAAAUUUUAAUGCAAGUCUAAUCGCUGUGUAAUCACCGGCCUAUGCACUCGAGUUCAUAUUACCAGAGUUAAAUUUAUAUAUGCGAAGCUAUUAUUGCUUAAUUCAGCCCAUUGAACUUUAACACAACAAUAAAAUCAUUUAAUAUGCAUUUAUAUGUGCAUAUAGACACACUUUACCGCCAUAUCAUCUUAACGAAAUAAUCGCAGCAUUUGUGGCAGCGGCUCGUGUUUCUUUCGGUUUCGGUUUCGGUCUCAGCAUCAAAAACAAAAUGCCAUUUCACGAGGAAAAAACGCCACCAACUACAAGCAGAGCUUAUGAGCAAAACAAUAGCAUCUAGCCGGCGAUAAGAGCCCACAUGCUGCCAUAACAAAAGUGUCUCAAAGUGCCCACUUCGCUCGGUGGCGGUGAAAGUUUCGCAUGCAAAUUGCAAAAAGGAAGACAAUAACAACAACAAUAAUAAACAAAUUGCAAUAUUUUUUCACACAAUUUUUUUUUCUUUGCUUUGCUCUUGCUUCAGUUUGCUUUUCACGUUGCGGAUGAAUGAUGUUUUUUCAACACACAGACACACUUGCAUACUUAGAUGCCUGCAAGUGCCGGCACAGCAGCGCAUCUUUCCUCAUUUUGCCUUAGUCGCGCACAGUUUGGUGAUUUAUAAAGACUACAAGUUGCUGUUCGGAAUGCAAUGACAUGGCACGAUCUCGCAGCACCUGAUGCUCUGAACUUUCAUGAAAUUUCGUGCAAUAGAAAUACAAGCAAAACAAAAAGCGCACAAAGCGUUGCUCGGUUUUUAUGCGACACCCGACAAUGUGAUGUGCAACGUGACGCUUUUUAAAACGCUCUUACUAACUGCAAGCCACUGAGUUGGGAGACCACGAAGCCGCGGUGUGAAUUGCUUACUCGUUAGUCAGUGCAAGGCACGAUCCACAAACAAGCAAAGAAAAUAAUGAUGAAGCACAAACGUUUGACGACUUUUAAAAUGCACUUUGAAGGUACAAGAGGAUGAGUCUAAAAAAUAGAAUUGAAAAACGAAUUUUGCAUAUUUAUUGGCUGGAUGUACUAAACUCGCUCAAAUGAUUUGUUAAGCGAGAGUAAAACUGUCAAUGAUUGGUUCGGCUUGGGGAGAUAAAUUUGCGAAAAUUAAAAAUUUGUUAGCUGGGUGCAUUGUCACAUUACUGAACAGUACACAUGGUUCUGUGCGAAUG